rnacentral:lncRNA from 1 species
AGUAGCUGCUGUGGGAGCCGAGAGAGGGAAUGAAGAAGGAAACCAGGAACCUUUUAUGAAUAAGGCCCUUUGUAAAUAUUCUGCCCGGAGUUCCUCCCACUACCUCAACAUUAAAAUAGAUGAAGAAUUCGAAAACCAAGAAGUUCAGACGUUAGGAUUCAGGGUUGGAAUAUCACCAGUCUUAACUGGAGAGGGCAAGACUAGCAGUUUUUGCAAGACCAAGACCGUGUACCCUUCUACUCGGAAGUCAGAGUUGGUGCCACCUAAGUGGGUUCCUGAUGCAGGGGAUUUGAGGACAUCCUCUUCCUUCAACUGUAAGUCACCAAGGGCUCUGGACAUUGUGAAAAUUUCCCUUUCAGUUAUUUUUUUUUCAUUUUUUAUUAUAUUCCUCACUGAAUUUUGUUACAUUUAUAGUUGUACAAAAUUUCCCUUUCAGUUAUUAUGGAAACCCAAAACAAUACCAUCUGGACCCCUCUCUGGCAGUGCAGUGUGGUACCCUCAAAGUUUGAUUGCUAGUAGGUUCAGUCUUCUGGGGCUGGAAGUCCUGAAAAAGAACAUGUUAAGAGAAUUUUAUGCUGAGUAAAACACGCAGGCUUAGGAACGAGUGUGCCUAAGACCUUGAAUUUCUUUCUGGCUCUCAGUAUGCGAGUCAUGAUUAUUUCCCUUGCGUCAUCCUCUGCAUGUGGCUUUUCAUCUUACAUUCUGGCUUUGCUCCAGGAGAUGAUACACUGCCUGAUGCCAGGGCCCUGGUGAAAGGUCACACCCAGAAUGGCCAGGCUGGGAGGAGCUCACUUAACAGUGUGGCCCCUGACUGCGUUCCGUGGUGCUCUAUCUUGGUGGGGUCAAAGCAAGAGUGAAAAAUUCCAAAAGGACCUAAAAUGUAGAGUUUGGCCGAUAAUGCAACUAGAAGGGUUUUUUUUUUUUUUGGUCUGAAUUGCUGUCAGUAGGAGUGAGUGAGUUUCUGUCAUUUCCCCACCAAAUGAAAAAUGGAAUUUAUGAUGAAUGGUUGUUAAAUAAAGUGAUCUGGACUCAUUCUUUUUAGCCUAGU